AUCCUAUUGAUGAGUCACAAAUAGGACGAAACGUGCGUCCUGAAU
rnacentral:hammerhead_ribozyme from 1 species